rnacentral:rRNA from 1 species
UACGGAGGGAGCUAGCGUUGUUCGGAAUUACUGGGCGUAAAGCGUGCGCAGGCGGUUUUGUAAGACAGGUGUGAAAUCCCCGGGCUUAACCUGGGAACUGCAUUUGUGACUGCAAGGCUGGAGUGCGGCAGAGGGGGAUGGAAUUCCGCGUGUAGCAGUGAAAUGCGUAGAUAUGCGGAGGAACACCGAUGGCGAAGGCAAUCCCCUGGGCCUGCACUGACGCUCAUGCACGAAAGCGUGGGGAGCAAACAGG